UUGAUGGUUGGCUCAACUGGUAAGCGCGUCAGGCCCAUGGCCUGAUGGUUGCGGGUUCGAGUCCCGUACCACAUGG
rnacentral:tRNA from 1 species